rnacentral:lncRNA from 1 species
CUUAGCCUCGCACAUGUCCUUCAGGAUCUGAUUCAAAAACUCUCUCUCUUUCAAAAAGCCUUCUAUGAAGAACUCUGUCAUUUUCUCAGCAUCCAUAAACACUGAUGCAUCUAGUCUGUCUGAGGAUAACAUGCCUCUGUUAUCUAUAAAUGUACUGCUUCAGAUGUUUCAACUAAAGCUCCCUGAGGGCAGAACCUACGCCACCCAAUUACAGUAGCUCAUUCCCCAACUCUCUGAAUUAUAGACACUCAACAAACAUUAUUAUUGAGCCAACUAUCAUAUUUGUGCCAUGAAUUGCCCAACUUAAAUGUGCUUUAUUUUAUGAACCUAAGAUAAAAUGUGAAGUAAAGCAAUAUUCUCAGAAAAGCAACCAGGAUUCAAACCUCAGCCCUGCCAACGCCACCUACUAGCUGUGUGACCUUGAGCAAGUUACCUUACCUUUCUGAGCCUAAGUUUUUUUUUCCACAAAUGUUUUGCUCCAGCCCACAGAUUUAUCAUGAAUAUCAAAUGAAAUGAGGCUUGAGAAAAUAUUUUGUAAACUAUGGAGGCUACCUGGGUUCUGACUGUUCAAAUAUAGCAGUGUUUCAAAAAUUUCCAUUGAACAGGUCAAUUAAAAUCAAGUCAACCCUCACUCACAACUGGAGCAGCUCACAAGUUACAGAGUCAACAACCUUCUGUGUUUAGAAACAUCUUGGUGAAGGACAAUGUUGCUACAUCUGCACCCAAACUACUCCAGGUUAGUCUGCACAUGCACACCCGGACUGUCAGAGCUCUCCCCAGCGGUGUUUCUGGCAGGUCCCUCUCCAGGGCACAGAGAAGCAGGGGAGUCCGUAAGUCUGAAAAUCACUUCCUGCUGCAUACACGCUCAGUUGUGUCCAGCUCUUUGCAACCGCCUGGACUGUAGCCCGCCCAGCUCCUCUGUCCAUAGAAUUUUCCAGGCAAGACACAGGAGUGGGCUGCCAUUUCCUACUACAGGGGAUCUUCCUGACCCAGGGAUCGAACCUGCGUCUCCUGCAUCUCCCUUCUUUGGCAGGCUGACUCUUUACCACAGCGCCACCAGGGAAGCCCCGGAAUUCCUUUCAGCUCAGGGAAAUAGCCUCCAGUCCUUUAAAGCGAAAGAAAAGGUGAGAAGAUAACGAGUCUCCAGUUCUUUCUCCUCUUAAUCUUUGCCAUUUUCACAAAACCACAUUAUCUUCACAUUUGUAGGGGACAGACAGAUCAACCAAGACUCUGUGUAUAAGAAAGACCUACAAUAAUUGUAAUAUGAUGCCUUUGUAGAGGACUCCUAAAAUCAGGAGGUGAGAGGAAUUGCAGGCUAAGCCAAAUAAAGCGAAACAGACACAGAAGAAGACAACAUGCAGAAAGGACACAUUUCCUUGUGUUUGUAUGGUUCACAUAGGCAAUAGGAAUUCCCCUCCUUCCCAACUGUUGGGCCAUGUCAAAAGUACUGGCAUCGAUCACAACUAUGAACAGAACCUUAUUUUACUUGAUCCUUAAAAAUGGUAAAAAUCCACUGGUCUUGAAUUUACAGAUGUAUCUGCAGAAAACAAGCAACACAGACGGCUUUUCUGACGAGCACUUAUUCUUCAGCCUGGACAUCUGCUUGGUCAACAAGUCAUCUGAAUCACCUGACCGUGACCAUUAUAUAGGCAGAAGUGCAGGGAAGCUGGCUUUUCUGCUGAAUUUUGGGAAUGAUUGGGAAUGCCAGAAGGAACAGAAUUUUUAUGUCUAUUUUUUUUAAUGCUAAAUGAAUCAACAAACUGUGUAUUACAGCCUACAGCAAACUAGCCAAGGCAAAUGGUCCAUUUGCUUUUCCUAGAUGACCAUUCUACACAACGACUAGCCUCGGAGACAACUUAGUAGAUCCUUGUCUAUUCUCCAGAUCAGUGCGGUCCAAAAGAAUUUUCCGCAAUGACAAAAAUGUUUUAUCUCUAC